rnacentral:rRNA from 1 species
UACGAAGGGGGCUAGCGUUGUUCGGAAUCACUGGGCGUAAAGCGCACGUAGGCGGAUUUUUAAGUCAGAGGUGAAAGCCUGGAGCUCAACUCCAGAACUGCCUUUGAUACUGGAAGUCUCGAGUGUGGAAGAGGUUGGUGGAACUGCGAGUGUAGAGGUGAAAUUCGUAGAUAUUCGCAAGAACACCAGUGGCGAAGGCGGCCAACUGGUCCAUUACUGACGCUGAGGUGCGAAAGCGUGGGGAGCAAACAGG